CAUUUCUUUGCCUGCCAGCAUGAAAAUGCCUGGUGCCAGAAGUCCUUUCAAGGCUUGUAGUCUGUACUCUUCUGUUAAUGGAUGUAUGUAUUGGUUGUUCAUUUUCAUAGUGGAUUAUUUAAUGUCCAGAGACAAUGUGAUUCUGUACAAGCGAGAAAAAAUCCAGGAAGUAGUACGUCAUUAUUGGCCAUGGCAGCACUCCCUGGUAGAAAGAUUAAAAAGUCACUGCUGUGUAUGCUCCUGGGUUGCCAGCUUUUAAUCCUGUAAGACAGUCUUUAGAGGAUCAGAUAAACCAUAUCACAACUGCUCCUCUUUCAUCCUUUCAUUCAGACAACCGAGGGGACUGCCUGUGAAGUUCACUGAACCAAUGGAAUUGUGCGUCGUAGCGGAAGGCAUGUGUUAACACACCUGGCACAUUUCAGAGCAAAGGGUCUCAAUGAAAGAAUGUCAGAGAGUCUGAAAGUGAUUGGCAGCAUAUCAAUGAGACCAUGUGCAAGGUGGCACCGCCAGCCACAGACAGCCACUGAAGCGCAUGCCAUCCAGGGCAGGGACAUAAUGACACGCAGUGACAGGAUGCCAGUGCCCAGGGGCCGUUUCCCAUGGGAUACUCUCUGGGAGAGAGAGAAGAGAGACGAGCAGAGCAAAGGACGCACCACGCCUGACGGAAGAAAGCACAGCUCUGACGCGUCACCCUUUCAUAGCCGCAGGAAUCCCUGGAGGAUCAGUAAGGAGGAAGGAAAUGUGAGUAAAUAUGCACAUGCCUUACUAAGUCAGUUCAGUUACAUUCAGUUACACACCCAUAUAUUGGGAUGGCAGGUAUGCCAUCCCGCCAAGUUACGCCUUGGCGGGGGCAUGUAAUGUAUACUUUACAUGUUCGGUUACACUUUACAUGUGGGGCAAUUUAGUUGAGAAAACAACACGGUUGGCAAAUACCGUAAGAUACAUAAAACACAUACAUAUGACAUUUUACGUAUUUCUAACAUGUAAGAUAAAAGAUUAAAAGAACUGAAACUGGAAAUAAACUGAAACAAGGAAAAAAAAAGUUUGCAUAAGAUAAAAAUAUAGAUUCUGAAGCCUGUAAUCAGCCAACCCAAAAACAGGGAAUUCCUAUAAUGCAUGUAUUUUGCUUGUCACAUCCUGUGGCAAUAAAAAAUUAUAUUUGGCCGACAUGAAUAAAGAGAUAUCAUAAAAACAGGCGAGAAUGAAUCUAAGAUAAAAGUAAAAACAUGAUAUCAUUGCAAAAAUAAUGUUUGCGUAGCAAAUAUAUUACAGUGAACAUAAGGGAAAAUCAAAUGUCUAGUUAUCUCUGAAUUGCUAAUAAUGAAGUGAUUUAUUUUGUGUCUGUAAUGUUAUAAUUAGCAGAACUGCGUGAAACAGACCCCCAGUUGAAAUAUUUCACUAGCCUUUGCAACAAUGCACCACAUUAGCAACCACAUAAUGUUCCUUAAUGAGAGAUUUAUUUCCAUUGUUUCUUUGUUUUGUUUCUUUCCCCAAUACACUCCAUGCUGUCAGUGGACUGCGGGCAUGGUUUCAUAAAACCAUUCUUUUAACUGUCUGUUCCUUUCUGUUUCUCAUAAACUUACCGGGAGAUCUGAGACAAUUGUUGCUAAUUAUUUUUCAUUUUGAAUUUUCAUAUUUUGAGUUUUUGAUUCAUUUUCAAAUAUUCCGAAAACUCUUAAUUUGCUGUUCACUUUGCUUCAACUAUUACAUGUGCUGACAGAUUGAUCUGUCUUGGGAUAAUGAAUUGUUAUAAUAUUGCCAAUAUUUAAAAACUUAAUUAUGACACUUUUCCUUCAAAACUAAAGUUGGACAUGAAACACGGUCUUUAAGUUACUUUGCAUGGAAGCAGUCAAAAUGAAUGCAUUGCCGCAAGUCACUUUUUUUAUUUUUAGUGCACUGUGAACUAAUUUUAUUUGUAAUGGAAAGUGCCCUAGGAUCACUCUGUCUGUUUUACCGUGCCCUAAAUCUUGGGGUCUUGCUUACCUGAAUUUUCAACAUUAUUACUGGGCCUUUCUGCUAAGAGCUACAAAUAACUGGCUUCACCCAGAUAUUUUUGUCUCCAAACAGUCUUUGUGAAGACCUUACAAAAUGUAUUGCCUACAUCUUAUAUUUUCUAAGCUGGGUGCCAUUAUUACUGAUGCAAAUGUGGGGUGCAAUUAAUACAUUCUCUCCAUGUAGGCUUACUCCUGUAUUGCACACACACUCCCAAUUAUGGAGAAAUAACUGACUAAUUACUGGUUCACAUUCCUUCAUUUAUGGUCCCUAGGAAAACCAAAAUAUCCAUACAAUAGAUUAUAUGUGUAUGUUCAGUGAUCCUGGUUUGCUAUAUUUCUUUUUGUAUCUUAGACUUUGUUAAGCAAUUUGUGCUGGAGGUGUAUCAUUACAUUCUAUGGUCCUACAGCAAUUACCCACGGAAGUUGGAUUUAUAUCUUAUCUUUACAAUAAAUGUGAAGUAAAUUUGCAUAACUUCGGUGUUGGAAGAAUAUUUUCACUUCCUCAGAAAGCCUCUAACGGCACAUUAAUUUAAAAUUUUCUCACAGAGAUUAUGCCAACCCUCAUUUCCAGUGAAGUUCAUCUCAGAUUCAUCUUGCCAAGCUUGUCAACGGGGUUCAGGAGAACCAUGUUUGCAUGUGUUUUGGGAAUGUCCCAAAAUAGCAGAAUUUCAGAUACCUGUUGUUUUUGCGUUUAAAAAGUGUUUAGGUCUAUUCAGAUUGCCUUGUCCCCAGUGGUGCUUCUGUUGUCAGAUUGCCUGGGCCUCGAGUUACCACUAGCAUUUGACAAUUGUGCCUGGACAGCAAAAAUAGGGCCCUAAAAUAGUUGAAAGGCUGAAUAAACCAUUUGUUUCAUAUGUUUAUGAUGAUCUCCCAGCGUAACAUAAGCUUAAUUACUACAAACAUCCUUCCGUUUCUUCAUCCGCUCCUUUACUCUGCUGAGUCUUGGGGUAGGUGGAGGUCACACCUUUGUGCCAGUUCCAUACCCCCAGGUCACGACUUAAAUGGCUAACAAGGCAUACUGUAUAGCAAUUGUUCAGGCACUAUUUUUUUGCGUUAGUUUGCAAGGGCUCUUCUGUUACUGGAACAAUCAUAGCUUCCAAAGGACCUUGCAGUGUACAGAGACAGAACCCCCACACUCUGUGCCGGUUAUAUAGGUGGGGACCCACAGGGUCACAACCUGCUGAUGAUGGCUAGCAGGAAGCACAUCUGGGGGGAUUUCACACUGACCCCCGACACCCCAUACAUGUGACUCAUAGAGGCUGGGUGCUGACAUAGAACUUUUAUUUUGAUUACUGACCUCCUGGACAGAUCAGAUCCUCAGGGGGUAUCAUAUUGAUUUAUGUGUGACCCUUGAUUCAUGAUACCAGUGCACAAAGUGUGGUAAUGAGGACCCAUGGGAAUAUGAAAGAUGUGAGUGCUGUAGUGGGGAUGUACUGUCACACAGUCCAUAAACAUCACUGAUAUUUUGCCUCAUUUGGUUUUUAGUUUUUGCUCAUUUGCAUUAACUUGUUUCAGAGGAAAACCAUUCCACAUCGCUUGCUAUCAUAUUCAGACCUAUGUCAUGUGUCUAUCACUUGUGACAAAAUGACCCAGCUUUAACCAAGCAGACAUUACAUUUACCCUUCUUCACUAUUUGUUGAUUGAAAUGUUUGCUGAAUUAAAGUUUAAAAGAUUGACAGAAAAUAUGAAGAUGGGAUGAAAAAUGAUGAUGCUUUGUUCGGUUAUAUUAUAUAAUGGUGCAAGGGUCCAUACAUUGUCCAGAAACUAACAAGUAGCUAGCUUGAAGUGGUGCACAGUAAUAUGGUGGGUUGAAAAAGAAAAUGAAGCUACUGUGUGUUUGUCCAAUGUGACACUGUGUACACAUCAGCCAGUACUAACAAUAUGUGAUUAAUAUUGUGUGCUCUUGCAUUGCAAAACGAUUGGUGGGUUCUCUGUAGUUUGCAUACAUAAAUCA